rnacentral:sRNA from 1 species
CAUCUCACUCCAGACCCUGGCCUGCCCCUGAAAAAAUCGAAAGGAAAACGUUUGCCUUCACACACCCUGACGCAAUUUUGUGAAUUGCGAUUCGCCGGGAAAACGAUACAGGACGACAGGAGGGGGUCAAUGGCCGGUACGCUUAUAAAUAAGCGUCGAAUUUUGACGUAUCCCGACGCAAAGUGGAAGAGCAAAAAACAACAUCCUGCUAAAUCUGUGAAGAUUUUUACGAUUAUCUGUGCAAAAAUGAGUAAGCUCAGUUUCACUGUGGCAAUAAAAAGGAGAAAAAUUGAUGAGUACCGAACUUAAGCUGUCGCUCACCACUACCAUUAUUACGCUUGCGCUCAUUGUUGCCGCUGCACUGACCGCCGUAUUGCAUUAAUU